UACGUAGGGUGCAAGCGUUGUCCGGAAUUAUUGGGCGUAAAGAGCUCGUAGGCGGUUUGUCGCGUCUGCUGUGAAAACUCGGGGCUUAACCCCGGGCCUGCAGUGGGUACGGGCAGACUAGAGUGCGGUAGGGGAGACUGGAAUUCCUGGUGUAGCGGUGAAAUGCGCAGAUAUCAGGAGGAACACCGGUGGCGAAGGCGGGUCACUGGCCCGAUACUGACGCUGAGGUGCGAAAGCGUGGGGAGCAAACAGG
rnacentral:rRNA from 1 species